GACGUCACCAGCGUCCUCUGGUUUUACUUCCGAGCCACACGGAAUUCACUUCCUCCUGGACAAACGUCAGAAUGGUUCCGGCAGUUGCUGUUUCGCCGCUCAUCAAGACGGCCAGGUGGUCCGCCUUGUUCCUUGGCGUAUUGUAUGGAAAGCAGAGGCUUGAGUAUCUAAAACCAAUUGCGGAGGAAGAGAGGAAGAUUGAGGAAGCAGAGAAGAAGGCCAGAGAGGAACAGGAGCGGAUCUACAAACAGCUCUCUGAAGCAAACUCUGACACCAUCCUGAAGUGAACUUUCACCGGAGCAGCCAUUAUGUUAUAACCAUAAUAAAAAUGACGAUAUUUUUAAUGUA